ACAUACGACCAUAGGGUGUGGAGAACAGGGCUUCCCGUCCGCUCAGCCGUACUUAAGCCACACGCCGGGAGGUUAGUAGUUGGGUGGGUGACCACCAGCGAAUCCCUCCUGUUGCAUGUU
rnacentral:rRNA from 1 species